UGGGGAAUUUUGGACAAUGGGGGAAACCCUGAUCCAGCCAUCCCGCGUGUGCGAUGAAGGCCUUCGGGUUGUAAAGCACUUUUGGCAGGAAAGAAACGUCGCGGGUUAAUACCCCGCGAAACUGACGGUACCUGCAGAAUAAGCACCGGCUAACUACGUGCCAGCAGCCGCGGUAAUACGUAGGGUGCAAGCGUUAAUCGGAAUUACUGGGCGUAAAGCGUGCGCAGGCGGUUCGGAAAGAAAGAUGUGAAAUCCCAGAGCUUAACUUUGGAACUGCAUUUUUAACUACCGGGCUAGAGUGUGUCAGAGGGAGGUGGAAUUCCGCGUGUAGCAGUGAAAUGCGUAGAUAUGCGGAGGAACACCGAUGGCGAAGGCAGCCUCCUGGGAUAACACUGACGCUCAUGCACGAAAGCGUGGGGAGCAAACAGGAUUAGAUACCCUGGUAGUCCACGCCCUAAACGAUGUCAACUAGCUGUUGGGGGCCUUCGGGCCUUGGUAGCGCAGCUAACGCGUGAAGUUGACCGCCUGGGGAGUACGGUCGCAAGAUUAAAACUUAAAGGAAUUG
rnacentral:rRNA from 1 species